rnacentral:lncRNA from 1 species
GGAAAGACAUGAUCUACAAUCUCUAAAAAUAAAAAUAACUAUGUAUCACAUUGUAUUAACUGUAUACCAUAAUAAAAUAAUUAUGUAUCAUAUUUAUUUAACUGUAUAUUAUGAUACCUUAACUUUGUACCACGUUCAUAAAAGUAAUGUGCAUAAUUUAUAACUAAAUGAAAAAUGAGCAAUAUUAGUAUGAAACAUAAAUCAGAAAAAAGAUACCUGACUGCAUCAAUAGGAUAUUUUUGUCCAGAUCUUGAUGAUGUACGAUUUCAGUUCCUUUUCGAGCAUCCUAGUUUCUGCAAGAAAUAGUUCUUCUUCGAUGAAAGG